rnacentral:rRNA from 1 species
UACAUAGGUCUCAAGCGUUGUUCGGAUUCAUUGGGCGUAAAGGGUGCGUAGGCGGCGCGUCAAGUCGGGUGUGAAAUCUCGGAGCUUAACUCCGAAACUGCAUUCGAUACUGCCGUGCUUGAGGACUGGAGAGGAGACUGGAAUUUACGGUGUAGCGGUGAAAUGCGUAGAUAUCGUAAGGAAGACCAGUGGCGAAGGCGGGUCUCUGGACAAUUCCUGACGCUGAGGCACGAAGGCCAGGGGAGCAAACGGG